CGCGUAGGCGGCUUGCCGAGUCAGGGGUGAAAUCUUUCGGCUCAACCGGAAACGUGCCCCUGAUACUGGCGGGCUGGAGGAGGGUAGGGGCGGAUGGAACUUCCGGUGGAGCGGUGAAAUGCGUAGAUAUCGGAAGGAACGCCGGUGGCGAAAGCGAUCCGCUGGACCCUUUCUGACGCUGAGGCGCGAAAGCCAGGGGAGCAAACGGGAUUAGAUACCCCGGUAGUCCUGGCCCUAAACGAUGGGUACUAGGUUGUGGACUUGACAUGGGUUCACAGCCGAAGCAAAAGUGUUAAGUACCCCGCCUGGGGAGUAUGGUCGCAAGGCUGAA
rnacentral:rRNA from 1 species